GGCAGCCGAAUUGUAGCCUACCUCACAUAAAGUUUAUUAGUAAUGCUCGAAGGGUAUUUGAAACUUGCAACGAAAAGUCAUAUGCCAAUAUUGAAAAAGGGUGUCACAUUGUUUGCAGUGUGGAUAUGCAUUAUAGAAACUCAAUUUAAGUCCUAGUGCAAUUUAAUGUGCAACAGUACGGCGUACAUUAUGACUUGCGUCUGCCGGUAAUUGGACAGCCCUUUCUACAGCAUCGGCUGGAUUACUGCACAAAGAGCGUCUCUAUGGCCAAACCAGUGGAUUGGAGAAGACCACUGUGAACGGGGUUUCAUAUUUUCAGUGAACUCCAGAUGGAGCGCACCCACCUCCCCGCGGGGAGGCCCCGCCACCCAAACCCGCAGGGGGGCCUCUUCUCAGCUCCCAGGCUCAGGCCUGGACCCAGACCGCUCUUCUGUGUCGAUGACUUGAGCUGGACUGAGAUCCAGUGACGCUGAGUGUGAACCACAGCCUGCAAUGUCGCACGGAGUUUAUUCCGCGAACCUGCCUGCACAGAGGGAGGCGCCUGCGCUGGUAUUCCUCAACGGUUCCUCGCUGAGGCCCUCUGCUGGUGAAGAGAAGAAGCGCAGUCAGCUGCAUUGACUUUGCCGCUCUGCCGUGGAACACAGGGGAACACAGCUGUGUAGUUGGCUCUCUGUCCAGUGAAGCGUAAACAGGCUGUAGGUUUAGUAUCCCAGGUGGCCUUGUUCCUCACUGAGAAUUUUCUCUCAAUAUGAUUCACUUUCACAUUUGAUUGGCACGGCUGUGUAAUAGAUUAUAUCUCCCUUAUUUUCACUGUAAUGGUAAUGAAAAAUGAAACACUCAUAUUUCCUUUGUUUUUAUAAUUCAUG